rnacentral:ncRNA from 1 species
CAGAGUAGAAUGAGAGCGUAAAGUGCUGUGGGAUGGGAAGUUCGCCCACAGACGAAGGGGAGACCCGCGGUUCUUAUUCGCGUCCGCUGC